rnacentral:lncRNA from 10 species
CCUCACUUUAUUCCAGCUUUAUUAGCUAAUGGCAGCUAAAAGUGAUUUUACACAAAAUAAUGUGUCGGAGAUCAUUGUUCCCGGGCACAGGUCCCAAAUUCCAGCCCACGACCGAAGGCCAAACGUGCCCGUUAAUGAUUAAACCUCUGGAGUCAGUGCUCAGGGACACAGGCAGGGAGCAGCCCGGAGAGCUGCCGGUCAAGGUGCCCGGCCGGGUGGGGGUGGGGCAGCAGCCAGGCCCCGCCCAACAGGAACCAGUUCCUGCCCAAAGCAGGAGGGGAAAGGCUUUUCCACCAAGGGAAAGCUAAAUAUUGUCUAAAUCCGGCACCCAGGACGACACACAGGCUUCCCAUUGUCUGCCACACAGCAGGUCUCGGCCACGGCCCAGGUUGCACCCGUGUGAGGUUGAUGUUGGACCGUAUUUACAUUCAGUGUUUGGGGCUGACCGGGAAGAAAUCUGAAAGUGGAAGAGAAGGGAAGGCACCGGUAACCUCGUCUUCCCAAGAGGAGGUCAGAGGGCAGUUCAGACAUUGAAGGAAGAGACAAAGAGCCUUGAAUGUCACGAAAAGGAGGUUGGACUUUAUCCUGCAGGCAAUCAGAAGCCAGAAAGGUUUCAGGAUGGAUGGGCUGAUCAGAUUUGAGUUUCAACAGGCCACUGUGUGAG